rnacentral:rRNA from 1 species
UUAAGUUAUUAAGGGCGCACGGUGGAUGCCUUGGCACUAGAAGCCGAUGAAGGACGUUACUAACGACGAUAUGCUUUGGGGAGCUGUAAGUAAGCUUUGAUCCAGAGAUUUCCGAAUGGGGAAACCCAGCAUGAGUUAUGUCAUGUUAUCGAUAUGUGAAUACAUAGCAUAUCAGAAGGCACACCCGGAGAACUGAAACAUCUUAGUACCCGGAGGAAGAGAAAGAAAAUUUGAUUCCCUUAGUAGCGGCGAGCGAAACGGGAAGAGCCCAAACCAACAAGCUUGCUUGUUGGGGUUGUAGGACACUCUAUACGGAGUUACAAAGGACGACAUUAGACGAAUCAUCUGGAAAGAUGAAUCAAAGAAGGUAAUAAUCCUGUAGUCGAAAAUGUUGUCUCUCUUGAGUGGAUCCUGAGUACGACGGAGCACGUGAAAUUCCGUCGGAAUCUGGGAGGACCAUCUCCUAAGGCUAAAUACUCUCUAGUGACCGAUAGUGAACCAGUACCGUGAGGGAAAGGUGAAAAGCACCCCGGAAGGGGAGUGAAAUAGAACCUGAAACCGUGUGCUUACAAGUAGUCAGAGCCCGUUAAUGGGUGAUGGCGUGCCUUUUGUAGAAUGAACCGGCGAGUUACGAUUUGAUGCAAGGUUAAGCAGUAAAUGUGGAGCCGUAGCGAAAGCGAGUCUGAAUAGGGCGUUUAGUAUUUGGUCGUAGACCCGAAACCAGGUGAUCUACCCUUGGUCAGGUUGAAGUUCAGGUAACACUGAAUGGAGGACCGAACCGACUUACGUUGAAAAGUGAGCGGAUGAACUGAGGGUAGCGGAGAAAUUCCAAUCGAACCUGGAGAUAGCUGGUUCUCUCCGAAAUAGCUUUAGGGCUAGCCUCAAGUGAUGAUUAUUGGAGGUAGAGCACUGUUUGGACGAGGGGCCCCUCUCGGGUUACCGAAUUCAGACAAACUCCGAAUGCCAAUUAAUUUAACUUGGGAGUCAGAACAUGGGUGAUAAGGUCCGUGUUCGAAAGGGAAACAGCCCAGGCCACCAGCUAAGGUCCCAAAAUAUAUGUUAAGUGGAAAAGGAUGUGGCGUUGCCCAGACAACUAGGAUGUUGGCUUAGAAGCAGCCAUCAUUUAAAGAGUGCGUAAUAGCUCACUAGUCGAGUGACACUGCGCCGAAAAUGUACCGGGGCUAAACAUAUUACCGAAGCUGUGGAUUGUCCUUUGGACAAUGGUAGGAGAGCGUUCUAAGGGCGUUGAAGCAUGAUCGUAAGGACAUGUGGAGCGCUUAGAAGUGAGAAUGCCGGUGUGAGUAGCGAAAGACGGGUGAGAAUCCCGUCCACCGAUUGACUAAGGUUUCCAGAGGAAGGCUCGUCCGCUCUGGGUUAGUCGGGUCCUAAGCUGAGGCCGACAGGCGUAGGCGAUGGAUAACAGGUUGAUAUUCCUGUACCACCUAUAAUCGUUUUAAUCGAUGGGGGGACGCAGUAGGAUAGGCGAAGCGUGCGAUUGGAUUGCACGUCUAAGCAGUAAGGCUGAGUAUUAGGCAAAUCCGGUACUCGUUAAGGCUGAGCUGUGAUGGGGAGAAGACAUUGUGUCUUCGAGUCGUUGAUUUCACACUGCCGAGAAAAGCCUCUAGAUAGAAAAUAGGUGCCCGUACCGCAAACCGACACAGGUAGUCAAGAUGAGAAUUCUAAGGUGAGCGAGCGAACUCUCGUUAAGGAACUCGGCAAAAUGACCCCGUAACUUCGGGAGAAGGGGUGCUCUUUAGGGUUAACGCCCAGAAGAGCCGCAGUGAAUAGGCCCAAGCGACUGUUUAUCAAAAACACAGGUCUCUGCUAAACCGUAAGGUGAUGUAUAGGGGCUGACGCCUGCCCGGUGCUGGAAGGUUAAGAGGAGUGGUUAGCUUCUGCGAAGCUACGAAUCGAAGCCCCAGUAAACGGCGGCCGUAACUAUAACGGUCCUAAGGUAGCGAAAUUCCUUGUCGGGUAAGUUCCGACCCGCACGAAAGGCGUAACGAUUUGGGCACUGUCUCAACGAGAGACUCGGUGAAAUCAUAGUACCUGUGAAGAUGCAGGUUACCCGCGACAGGACGGAAAGACCCCGUGGAGCUUUACUGUAGCCUGAUAUUGAAAUUCGGCACAGCUUGUACAGGAUAGGUAGGAGCCUUUGAAACGUGAGCGCUAGCUUACGUGGAGGCGCUGGUGGGAUACUACCCUAGCUGUGUUGGCUUUCUAACCCGCACCACUUAUCGUGGUGGGAGACAGUGUCAGGCGGGCAGUUUGACUGGGGCGGUCGCCUCCUAAAAGGUAACGGAGGCGCUCAAAGGUUCCCUCAGAAUGGUUGGAAAUCAUUCAUAGAGUGUAAAGGCAUAAGGGAGCUUGACUGCGAGACCUACAAGUCGAGCAGGGUCGAAAGACGGACUUAGUGAUCCGGUGGUUCCGCAUGGAAGGGCCAUCGCUCAACGGAUAAAAGCUACCCCGGGGAUAACAGGCUUAUCUCCCCCAAGAGUUCACAUCGACGGGGAGGUUUGGCACCUCGAUGUCGGCUCAUCGCAUCCUGGGGCUGUAGUCGGUCCCAAGGGUUGGGCUGUUCGCCCAUUAAAGCGGUACGCGAGCUGGGUUCAGAACGUCGUGAGACAGUUCGGUCCCUAUCCGUCGUGGGCGUAGGAAAUUUGAGAGGAGCUGUCCUUAGUACGAGAGGACCGGGAUGGACAUACCUCUGGUGUACCAGUUGUCGUGCCAACGGCAUAGCUGGGUAGCUAUGUGUGGACGGGAUAAGUGCUGAAAGCAUCUAAGCAUGAAGCCCCCCUCAAGAUGAGAUUUCCCAACUUCGGUUAUAAGAUCCCUCAAAGAUGAUGAGGUUAAUAGGUUCGAGGUGGAAGCAUGGUGACAUGUGGAGCUGACGAAUACUAAUCGAUCGAAGACUUAAUCAA